UACGGGGGGUGCGAGCGUUGUCCGGAAUCAUUGGGCGUAAAGCGCGCGUAGGCGGCCUCGUAAGUCCGUUGUGAAAGUCAAAGGCUCAACCUUUGAAAGCCGAUGGAUACUGUGAGGCUAGAGUCCGGAAGAGGCGAGUGGAAUUCCUGGUGUAGCGGUGGAAUGCGCAGAUAUCAGGAGGAACACCAAUAGCGAAGGCAGCUCGCUGGGACGGUACUGACGCUAAGGCGCGAAAGCGUGGGGAGCGAACAGG
rnacentral:rRNA from 1 species